rnacentral:rRNA from 1 species
CUUACCUACGGGAGGCAGCAGUGGGGAAUAUUGGGCAAUGGGCGCAAGCCUGACCCAGCAACGCCGCGUGAAGGAAGAAGGCUUUCGGGUUGUAAACUUCUUUUGACAGGGAAGAGCAGAAGACGGUACCUGUCGAAUAAGCCACGGCUAACUACGUGCCAGCAGCCGCGGUAAUACGUAGGUGGCAAGCGUUGUCCGGAUUUACUGGGUGUAAAGGGUGCGCAGGCGGCUCUGCAAGUCAGGCGUGAAAGCUAGGGGCUCAACCCCUAAACUGCGCUUGAAACUGUGGAGCUUGAGUGAAGUAG